UACGUAGGGUGCGAGCGUUAAUCGGAAUUACUGGGCGUAAAGCGUGCGCAGGCGGUUUGGUAAGACAGAUGUGAAAUUCCCGGGCUUAACCUGGGAACUGCAUUUGUGACUGCCAGGCUAGAGUGCGGCAGAGGGGAGUGGAAUUCCGCGUGUAGCAGUGAAAUGCGUAGAUAUGCGGAGGAACACCGAUGGCGAAGGCAACUCCCUGGGCCUGCACUGACGCUCAUGCACGAAAGCGUGGGGAGCAAACAGG
rnacentral:rRNA from 1 species